rnacentral:lncRNA from 1 species
CAGAGGUGGAGAGAAUGGGUCAGGGAGGUGUGGUCCUAGCUACUGAGGAGGCUGAGGCAGGAGGAUUGCUUGAGCUCAGGGGUUUGAGGCUGCAGUGAGCUAUGAUUGCGUCCCUGCACUCCAGCCUGGGAGGCAGAACGAGACCCUGUCUCUAAAAAAUAUUAAAAAUAAAAAUAAAAGGCCAGGUGCGGUGGCUCACACCUAUAAUCCCAGCACUUUGGGAGGACGAGGCAGGUGGAUCACCUAAGGUCAGGUGUUUGAGACCAACCUGGCCAACAUGGUGAAAUCCCAUUUCUACUAAAAAUACAAACAUUAGCCGGGUGUAGUGGCAGGUGCCUGUAGUCCCAGCUACUCUGAAGGCUGAGGCAGGAGAAUCGCUUGAACCCAGGAGGCGGAGGUGGCAGUGAGCCAAGACUGUGCCACUGCACUCCAGCCUGGGUGAUAGAGCAAGACUCCAUCUCAAAAAAUAAAAAUAAAAGAGACAGAAGACAUACAGACACCUUGGCGUGUUCUGAGUCAGGGAAUUAGCACGUCAAGAAUGAAUCUGCCUUGGAUCCCGGCCACAUAAGAGCA